rnacentral:rRNA from 1 species
UACGGGGGGGAGCAAGCGUUGUUCGGAUUUACUGGGCGUAAAGGGCGCGUAGGCGGCCACCGCAAGUCGACUGUGAAAUCUCCGGGCUUAACUCGGAAAGGUCAGCCGAUACUGCGGGGCUAGAGUGCAGAAGGGGCAACUGGAAUUCCCGGUGUAGCGGUGAAAUGCGCAGAUAUCGAGAGGAACACCUGCGGGCGAAGGCGGGUUGCUGGGCCGAUACUGACGCUGAGGAGCGAAAGCGUGGGGAGCGAACAGG